UCAACACGGAUACGACCAAACCCAUUUAAAAUAUAAAAUAGUAAAUUGUGAAAUAAGAGAGGCUAAAUUAGUAAAUUUGUCCAUAUAGGUGUAAAAUUAAAAAUAUAAGAAAAAAAGCACUAACCCUAUCGCAUUAUCGCAUACGGCAUAUUCCAUCUUCUUGUUUCUGUCGACAGAGAGCAAAAGGCGAUUAAGAAGUACGAACCCUAGCUUUGAGCCUUUGAUCUUCUUCGAUUCCUCAUGUGAUUUCUUCCUUCUAUCGAGUUCUAACACAAAGUCACAACUAACAAAGAGAGCAAAAGGCGAUUACGAACCCUAGCUUUGAUCGUCUUCGAUUCCUCAUGUAGCAGUUUUACAAGCAGCAUACUGAAAUAUAGUUUUUAUCACUACGAACUUGAUAUUCCGAGGUUCUUUUUAGCAAAUAUGAUGGAUGCUGCUACUGAUAUUCAAAUAAACCUUGAAGAUGUUGAAGAAAGUGGCGAUGAAGUUGAAGAGCUACAAGGAGAUGAGGAAGCUUUCAAACCAAAAAAAGCUGUAAAACGAAAAAGAAAAUUCACCUCUGCCGUUUGGAAAUAUUUUAAGAUGCGUCCUCUUGCUAAAGACAAGAAGCCAAGAUGCGAGUGCAACAAAUACGGGACGGUUUAUUUGUGUAGUUCCAAGUAUGGAACUGGGAAUAUGA